rnacentral:rRNA from 1 species
UACGUAGGGUGCGAGCGUUGUCCGGAAUUAUUGGGCGUAAAGAGCUCGUAGGCGGUUUGUUGCGUCUAUCGUGAAAACCUGCAGCUUAACUGUGGGCUUGCGGUGGAUACGGGCAGACUUGAGUUCGGUAGGGGAGACUGGAAUUCCUGGUGUAGCGGUGAAAUGCGCAGAUAUCAGGAGGAACACCGGUGGCGAAGGCGGCUUCCUGGACCGACACUGACGCUGAGGCGCGAAAGCUAGGGGAGCAAACGGG